rnacentral:rRNA from 1 species
UGAGGGAAUAUUUGGGUCAAUGGGCGAGAGCCUGAACCAGCCAAGUAGCGUGCAGGAAGACGGCCCUAUGGGUUGUAAACUGCUUUUAUAUGGGGAUAAAGUGAGCUACGUGUAGUUUAUUGCAGGUACCAUAUGAAUAAGGACCGGCUAAUUCCGUGCCAGCAGCCGCGGUAAUACGGAAGGUCCAGGCGUUAUCCGGAUUUAUUGGGUUUAAAGGGAGCGUAGGCCGGAGAUUAAAGCGUGUUGUGAAAUGUAGACGCUCAACGUCUGCACUGCAGCGCGAACUGGUUUCCUUGAGUACGCACAAAGUGGGCGGAAUUCGUGGUGUAGCGGUGAAAUGCUUAGAUAUCACGAAGAACUCCGAUUGCGAAGGCAGCUCACUGGAGCGCAACUGACGCUGAAGUUCGAAA